rfam:Gossypium arboreum cultivar AKA8401 contig_10178_9, whole genome shotgun sequence.
AACCCAUGGUUAGGGCACUUUCUCAAUAGAUCAUUGUGUCUCUCCCAUGCAUCAUAGAGUGUUUCUAAAUCCAUCUGCAUAAAAGAAGAAAUAUCAUUCCUUAAUUU